rnacentral:rRNA from 1 species
UCAAGUAAUUAAGUGCAUGUGGUGGAUGCCUUGGCAGUCAGAGGCGAUGAAAGACGUGAUAGCCUGCGAAAAGCUCCGGGGAGGCGGCAAAUAUCCUUUGAUCCGGAGAUGUCUGAAUGGGGGAACCCACCUACUUUAAGGUAGGUAUUGCAACAUGAAUACAUAGUGUUGCAAGGCGAACGAGGGGAAGUGAAACAUCUCAGUACCCUUAGGAAAAGAAAUCAAUUGAGAUUCCCUCAGUAGCGGCGAGCGAACGGGGAUCAGCCCAUUAAGUUAUGUGUGUUUUAGUGGAACGCUCUGGGAAGUGCGAACGUAGAGGGUGAUAUUCCCGUACACGAAAGGGCACACAUAAUGAUGACGAGUAGGGCGAGGCACGUGAAACCUUGUCUGAAUAUGGGGGGACCAUCCUCCAAGGCUAAAUACUCCUGACUGACCGAUAGUGAACCAGUACCGUGAGGGAAAGGCGAAAAGAACCCCUGUGAGGGGAGUGAAAUAGAUCCUGAAACCGCAUGCAUACAAGCAGUGGGAGCACCUUCGUGGUGUGACUGCGUACCUUUUGUAUAAUGGGUCAGCGACUUAUAUUCAGUAGCGAGGUUAACCGUAUAGGGGAGCCGUAGAGAAAUCGAGUCUUAAUAGGGCGUUUAGUUGCUGGGUAUAGACCCGAAACCAGGCGAUCUAUCCAUGAGCAGGUUGAAGGUUGGGUAACACUAACUGGAGGACCGAACCCACUGUCGUUGAAAAGCCAGGGGAUGACUUGUGGAUAGGGGUGAAAGGCUAAUCAAGCCUGGUGAUAGCUGGUUCUCCCCGAAAGCUAUUUAGGUAGCGCCUCGGACGAAUACCAUAGGGGGUAGAGCACUGUUUCGGCUAGGGGGUCAUCCCGACUUACCAAACCGAUGCAAACUCCGAAUACCUAUGAGUACUAUCCGGGAGACAGACUGCGGGUGCUAACGUCCGUAGUCAAGAGGAAAACAAUCCAGACCGCCAGCUAAGGCCCCAAAAUCAUAGUUAAGUGGGAAACGAUGUGGGAAGGCAUAGACAGCUAGGAGGUUGGCUUAGAAGCAGCCACCCUUUAAAGAAAGCGUAAUAGCUCACUAGUCGAGUCGGCCUGCGCGGAAGAUGUAACGGGGCUAAAACUAUGUGCCGAAGCUGCGGAUGUAUACUUUGUAUACGUGGUAGGGGAGCGUUCUGUAAGCCGAUGAAGGUGUGUUGAGAAGCAUGCUGGAGGUAUCAGAAGUGCGAAUGCUGACGUGAGUAACGACAAAACGGGUGAAAAACCCGUUCGCCGAAAGACCAAGGGUUCCAGUCCAACGUUAAUCGGGGCUGGGUGAGUCGACCCCCUAAGGCGAGGCCGAAAGGCGUAGUCGAUGGGAAAAUGGUUAAUAUUCCAUUACUUCUGUGUAAUGCGAUGAGAGGACGGAGAAGGCUAAAUCAGCCUGGCGUUGGUUGUCCAGGUGAAAGGAUGUAGGCAUGUAUCUUAGGCAAAUCCGGGGUACUCUAUGCUGAGAUCUGAUAGCAAGCUGUACUUGUACAGCGAAGUGGUUGAUGCCAUGCUUCCAGGAAAAGUCUCUAAGCUUCAGUUACACAGGAAUCGUACCCGAAACCGACACAGGUGGUCAGGUCGAGUAGACCAAGGCGCUUGAGAGAACUCUGCUGAAGGAACUAGGCAAAAUGGUACCGUAACUUCGGGAGAAGGUACGCUGUUGUUGGUGAUGGAACUCGCUUCCUGAGCUGACGACAGCCGCAGAAACCAGGCCGCUGCAACUGUUUAUUAAAAACAUAGCACUCUGCAAACACGAAAGUGGACGUAUAGGGUGUGAUGCCUGCCCGGUGCUGGAAGGUUAAUUGAUGGGGUUAGCGUAAGCGAAGCUCUUGAUCGAAGCCCCAGUAAACGGCGGCCGUAACUAUAACGGUCCUAAGGUAGCGAAAUUCCUUGUCGGGUAAGUUCCGACCUGCACGAAUGGCAUAAUGAUGGCGGCGCUGUCUCCAGCAGAGGCUCAGUGAAAUCGAAAUCGCUGUGAAGAUGCAGUGUACCCGCGGCUAGACGGAAAGACCCCGUGAACCUUUACUGCAGCUUGACACUGAACUUUGACCUUACUUGUGUAGGAUAGGUGGGAGGCUUUGAAGCUGGAACGCUAGUUCCAGUGGAGCCGUCCUGAAAUACCACCCUGGUAAUGUUGAGGUUCUAACUCUGUCCCGUGAUCCGGGACGAGGACCGUGUCUGGUGGGUAGUUUGACUGGGGCGGUCUCCCUAAAGAGUAACGGAGGAGUACGAAGGUGCGCUCAGCGUGGUCGGAAAUCACGCGUAGAGUAUAAAGGCAAAAGCGCGCUUAACUGCGAGACCCACAAGUCGAGCAGGUACGAAAGUAGGUCUUAGUGAUCCGGUGGUUCUGUAUGGAAGGGCCAUCGCUCAACGGAUAAAAGGUACUCUGGGGAUAACAGGCUGAUACCGCCCAAGAGUUCAUAUCGACGGCGGUGUUUGGCACCUCGAUGUCGGCUCAUCUCAUCCUGGGGCUGAAGCAGGUCCCAAGGGUAUGGCUGUUCGCCAUUUAAAGAGGUACGCGAGCUGGGUUUAGAACGUCGUGAGACAGUUCGGUCCCUAUCUACCGUGGGCGCUGGAAAUUUGAGAGGAUCUGCUCCUAGUACGAGAGGACCAGAGUGGACGAACCUCUGGUGUACCGGUUGUGACGCCAGUCGCAUCGCCGGGUAGCUAUGUUCGGAAGGGAUAACCGCUGAAAGCAUCUAAGCGGGAAGCCUACCUCAAGAUAAGAUUUCCCUAGGACUUUAUGUCCUCUAAAGAGCCGUUCGAGACUAGGACGUUGAUAGGUUGGAUGUGGAAGCAUAGUGAUAUGUGAAGCUGACCAAUACUAAUUGCUCGUGAGGCUUGACUA